rnacentral:rRNA from 1 species
AUUGAACGCUGGCGGCAGGCCUAACACAUGCAAGUCGAGCGGCAGCGGGAAAGUAGCUUGCUACUUUUGCCGGCGAGCGGCGGACGGGUGAGUAAUGCCUGGGAAAUUGCCCAGUCGAGGGGGAUAACAGUUGGAAACGACUGCUAAUACCGCAUACGCCCUACGGGGGAAAGCAGGGGACCUUCGGGCCUUGCGCGAUUGGAUAUGCCCAGGUGGGAUUAGCUAGUUGGUGAGGUAAUGGCUCACCAAGGCGACGAUCCCUAGCUGGUCUGAGGGGAUGGUCAGCCCAACUGGAACUGAGCAACGGUCCAGACUCCUACGGGAGGCAGCAGUGGGGAAUAUUGCACAAUGGGGGAAACCCUGAUGCAGCCAUGCCGCGUGUGUGAAGAAGGCCUUCGGUUUGUAAACCACUUUCAGCGAGGAGGAAAGGUUGUUGGCUAAUAUCCAACAGCUGUGACGUUACUCGCAGAAGAAGCACCGGCUAACUCCGUGCCAGCCGCCGCCGUAAGAC